rnacentral:rRNA from 1 species
ACGGGUGAGUAGCACGUGAGCAACCUGCCCCGAAGACUGGGAUAACACCGGGAAACCGGUGCUAAUACCGGAUGCCCCCACCGGACCGCAUGGUCGGGUGAGGAAAGGAUUCUGCUUCGGGAGGGGCUCGCGGCCUAUCAUGCUUGUUGGUGAGGUAACGGCUCACCAAGGCUCCGACGGGUAGCUGGUCUGAGAGGACGAUCAGCCACACUGGGACUGAGACACGGCCCAGACUCCUACGGGAGGCAGCAGUAGGGAAUCUUGCGCAAUGGGCGAAAGCCUGACGCAGCAACGCCGCGUGAGGGACGAAGGCUUUCUGAGUUGUAAACCUCUUUCAGCAGGAACGAUGAUGACGGUACCUGCAGAAGAAGCACCGGCCAACUACGUGCCAGCAGCCGCGG